rnacentral:rRNA from 1 species
GGGUUGUGAGGUUAAGCGACUAAGCGUACACGGUGGAUGCCCUGGCAGUCAGAGGCGAUGAAGGACGUGCUAAUCUGCGAUAAGCGUCGGUAAGGUGAUAUGAACCGUUAUAACCGGCGAUUUCCGAAUGGGGAAACCCAGUGUGAUUCGUCACACUAUCAUUAACUGAAUCCAUAGGUUAAUGAGGCGAACCGGGGGAACUGAAACAUCUAAGUACCCCGAGGAAAAGAAAUCAACCGAGAUUCCCCCAGUAGCGGCGAGCGAACGGGGAGGAGCCCAGAGCCUGAAUCAGUGUGUGUGUUAGUGGAAGCGUCUGGAAAGGCGCGCGAUACAGGGUGACAGCCCCGUACACAAA